rnacentral:rRNA from 1 species
GACGAACGCUGGCGGCGUGCUUAACACAUGCAAGUCGAACGGAAAGGCCCUGCUUUUGUGGGGUGCUCGAGUGGCGAACGGGUGAGUAACACGUGAGUAACCUGCCCUUGACUUUGGGAUAACUUCAGAAAACUGGGGCUAAUACCGGAUAGGAGCUCCUGCUGCAUGGUGGGGGUUGGAAAGUUUCGGCGGUUGGGGAUGGACUCGCGGCUUAUCAGCUUGUUGGUGGGGUAGUGGCUUACCAAGGCUUUGACGGGUAGCCGGCCUGAGAGGGUGACCGGCCACAUUGGGACUGAGAUACGGCCCAGACUCCUACGGGAGGCAGCAGUGGGGAAUAUUGCACAAUGGGCGGAAGCCUGAUGCAGCAACGCCGCGUGCGGGAUGACGGCCUUCGGGUUGUAAACCGCUUUCGCCUGUGACGAAGCGUGAGUGACGGUAAUGGGUAAAGAAGCACCGGCUAACUACGU